CAAGGUUCUCUAUCAGUAACCAAUCACAUUUACCUAUAAUCCAUCAGUAAAAUCAACGGACAGACAUCACGGGCAAAGAACAAAAUGGCGGCUUCCGGAUAUUGAGAUCCGGCACAAGGAAGAAAGGGUAAUAAAUAUAAAUAAAUAAAGGGGGGGAUUACGGAGUAUAAUCACUAAGAUACCGGGGAGCAAGGAAAGGAGAACCAAAAAUAAAAAAGACAGAGUCCCUUUAAGGGGAUUCCAUACGCUAUAUGCACUUACCUGGGUCCCGUGGGUACUCGCAGGCCUUCCCGUCUGUUGGGUAUCAGUCCUACCAGUUUUACCCCUAUGGGGACUCAUUUAUUGGAGGAAAGUGUCAGCUUGCACUCUCUGCCAGUGAAUAAUACAUUGGGGUGCAGUGGUUAUGGUGCUUACACUGUCUCUUUAAGUAUCUUGUAAACUGCAUCUUCUAAAAUUGAAUGUUGCUGCCAUCAUAAAUCAUUCUGCUUUCUUCUCAAGUAUUAUCAUGUGUUUUAACAUAAUAUCAAUAAUAAUUCAUAUCUAUAUCUGCAGUAUUGCCCUUGAGUAAUAAUUUAUAUAGUGAUUGUUGGCACUUACUGCAAGGGCUAGUUAUUAAUAUUUUGUUUGCUAGUGAAUAAUUAUCUUACAAGUUACUGUUUGAGUAUGAGAAGUUUGUUCUAAUUCUAUAUAUUUUUGUACUGAUUGGGUUAAAGAGAUAAUAUGGAGUCAAACAAGUAGGGGCUUAUUCACUAAACAUCAAACUCUAGUGAACUGAAAGCAAAUAGCAAAAUGUUGAGAAUGUAGCUGAUUUUUAAAACAUUCUCCAACUCCUAAUAAAUUAAGUGACACUAUAGCCUCCAAGACAGCUUUAGCUUAAAGGACCACUAUAGGCACGCAGACCACUUCAGCUUAAUGAGGCGGUCUGGGUGCCUGGUCCAUCUAGGGUUAACCUUUUUUUCUAUAAACAUAGCAGUUUCAGAGGGAGUAUUAUAUCAGGAGAGACCUGGCACUGGUGGAGGGAGUAUUAUAUCAGGAGA